rnacentral:lncRNA from 1 species
GGUGGUAGCUGGAAAGACCAUUAUGGUUAGUUAGCUCCUGCCUGCUGCACCGGGAAGGCUUCAGAGGAGGAUCCUGGUGUGUCAGGUGUCUGUUCAAGGCUUCUUGGCAGCAGGGCACAGAGUCUGCUUAAGUCUUCCCUCAGUUCCCAGCAUCAUCAUCCACCACUGCUUCCUGAGCCCAAAGACACAUCAAAGCCCACGUUGCAGGCUGCUAAAGACGAUGGCCCAAUGCACCAUGAUGCAACACUUUAAACCUAUGCUUCAAAUUCACAGGAUUCACUUUGGGAAGAGUGAAAAGGUGACCACACCAGUAGAGAUGCACAUCUGAAGGUUGAAUUUAGAUCUUCACCUGGACUGGCCAUGUGGAGCAAAUACUUCUCAUCUACAUAGACCUGCAAUUCUCUCCUGCCGUUUAUGGAAUCCAGCCCACGUGUAGGGAGCUGAGCACUGCACACUGCAUGGACUUAAGCAGAUCUUUUUGACAAAUCUACAUGUGAG